GUUCCUGACCUUCACCGUCUAGUAAGGUAAACAACUCAGUCUUCAACAGACAACAAAGUAGCUAUCACAUCUUGUUAAACCUUUGUCGUAUGAUAACGAUGGCAAAGCUUUUUNUGAAGAAACUUUAUAAAUGGCGACAAUACUUAAUCUUGUUAUUAACUCCUCUUCUUCUGGCUCCUUUGCCNAUCAGCCUGCCUUCAACGGAAGCGCGGUGUGCCUUUGCNAUCCUAAUCAUGGCCAUCUACUGGGUCACCGAGGUCAUCCCACUUGCCGUCACGGCUCUGUUACCCUUGGUACUGUUCCCAUUACUGGGUGUGGUCGGCUCCAAGCAGAUAAGUCCUCCAUACUUNAAGGACACUACUAUUUUGUUCAUUGGUGGUCUGAUCGUCGCUGUGGCCAUUGAACAUUGGAAUCUACACAAGAGAAUUGCGCUCCGAGUUCUGCUGUGCGUCGGGACUCAACCAAGAAGGUUGAUGCUUGGCUUCAUGUCGAUCACGGCGUUCCUGUCCAUGUGGAUUAGCAACACAGCGACUACUGCCAUGAUGGUGCCCAUAGCAGAGGCGGUANUACAAGAGAUCAAACCAGAAAAGUUGGAUAAGGACGAGGACGAGGUCGCCGAAGACAAUGGAAAUUCUCUUGAACUGGUCGACGCUUCCGCCGCUCGAAAAGAACCAAAACUUGAAAAGGAAAAGGAAGAACCAAAGAAAGAAGAAAGCGAAGCAGAACUAGGUUUAAUCGUUACAGUUCAACCAGAAGAAAGAAAAUUGCAGGAAGAUAAAGACGAAGAGGAUGACCACACCUUCUUCUCACGCAUGAGCAAAGGUCUUAUUCUGUGUAUUGCUUAUGCGGCUAAUAUUGGAGGCACUGCCACUCUCACGGGCACUGGACCGAAUCUCGUGUUCAAUGGCCAAGCACAAAGUGUUUUUCCUGACAGUCCUGCUGUCGGUUUUGGCCAGUGGUUNAGCUUCGCUUUCCCUCAGAUGAUAAUUCUUUUGCUCGUAUCCUGGGUUUGGCUGCAGGUUUUUUUCUUGGGCUGUUGUAGGGGUAAAGGGAGUAAAGAGAAAAGCAAGAAGCAGGGACAAUCCAUCAAAAGAACACUUCGUAAACAAUAUCAGCAGAUGGGACCGANGUCAUUUGCAGAAAAAGUCGUUCUUUGUCACUUUGUCAUCUUGGCUUUUCUGUGGCUGCUAAGGGAGCCUAAGUUNAUGCCUGGAUGGGCCAUUGCGUUUAAUAAAGGUUAUGUCAAAGAUGCAACAGCAGCNAUGCUCAUCGCUUUUUCUCUGUUCAUUUUUCCUUCUGAAAAACCAAAGAUUUUUUGCUGGAAUACCGAAGGAAAAGCUACCAAGCCUCCUCCGACGAUACUAACCUGGAAGACUGUUGCCUACAAGUUGCCUUGGAAUGUAGUCAUCCUAUUGGGCGGUGGAUUUGCAUUGGCUGAAGCAGCUCAGAUUUCUGGGCUAUCUCAGUGGCUUGGGUACCAGCUCAGAGCUUUGGGCGCCAUCCCUGAUUUUGCUAUCGUCUUAAUUGUAUGUUUGAUCACGUGCGCAUUUACGGAAAUUACGUCAAACGUUGCCACGGCGACCAUCUUUCUUCCUAUUUUAGGAACAUUGGGUAAAAGUAUAGGCACUCAUCCAUGGUAUUUUAUGGUCCCUGCGACAAUUUCCUGUUCAUUCGCCUUCAUGUUACCUGUAGCAACGCCGCCCAACGCCAUUGUGUUUUCAUAUGGUCAUCUUAAAGUCAAGGAUAUGGCCAAAGCCGGGUUUGGAAUGAAUGUUAUUGGCAUUGUCGUACUCAUGACCUGCUUCCAUCUCUACGGAGUCAAGAUAUAUGGACUAGAAUCUUUGCCUGACUGGGCUUUACAUUCUAAAAUACCUAGCAAUUAUACCUUAGUAUGCAAGAACGUAACCAUGUAAUCUAGCCAGUGUAGAUGGAGGAGUGGAGGCUGGGAAGAGGGGUGGAAACUGGGUAGUCAAUCCUUGUUGCGCUUGUUCCACAGGGUAUGGAUAUACUAAGUAUAACAUGCUAGCAUUCUAUGUGAUUAUUCCAUCGAUGGGCUACCUGUGGCAGGUAUAUUAAUCACAGGGAUUCCAAAAGCAAGACAAUAAAAGAGAUGGAAUNCUGCAGAGAAAAAACACUUAUAGUUUAUAGUUUCAAAGACAUUAGGAACGUACGACGUCUCGGAUUCGUCGUGACCCAUUAUAUUAAGCGUAAAUAAAUAGCUAGAGUUCAAUGUUGUUAUAUAAAGUUUAUAUUUUGUUCCACUUUUUCUUCUAACACAUGCAGAUACAAGCCGUUGCAAUAUCUGAUCACAAAAAAAUAAAGCCAUAAAAUAUAGCCAUCCUCUAUUUCAAUAUUUACCUANGACAAAGCAGUCAUCCAACCAUCUUAUAAAUAAGAGUAGUCUCUUGCCAAGAAUUAAUACAGGAAGAUUUAAAAAUAGUUUUAUAAAUAGAUUACAUUUUAAACAUAGA
rnacentral:misc_RNA from 1 species